ensembl:lncRNA
CCAGUGAAGGACGCCAGUAAAUUCUUCUUUGGCAGCGCUGGCGCCACCGGCAAGAUGAUGUUCAGCUCUUCUGCCGGAGAGGAACCCUUCUCCUUCAUCCCAAAAUCCACUUCCCCCACCGUGGGGAGCACCAGCUCCCCUCCUCCCAGCAUGUCAGGGGAGCCUGUGAGGCCCACCCCCACCUUCAGAGUGGAGCCCCAGGCGCCGAAGGUGGUAGGAGGAGAGACCCUGGGGAGUUUCUCGGGUCUACGCGUGGGCCAGGGGGACGAAGAGAAGCCCUCAGCGGCCGCGUUUAGCUUUGGCCAGCCGGACAAUGGAAUGGGGCUAGGUUUAGGCACGGGCACGGCCCAGUUUAGCUUCGGGUCGACCCUCCAGCAAGGAAAGCCAGCUGAGGCUGCGUUUGGUGAGGCGGAUUCUACCGUGACAGACUUAUCCAAGACUGCAUUCAAGCCUCCCGAACUGGCAGCCCUGUCGAUCACCAAGCCUGCGUUCUCCACGUCAGCAGCCACCUCCUUCAGCAGCCUCCUAGCUGCACCCCUCUCUUCCCCGUCCCCCACCCUGGAGGAAGAGCCCCCCAAAGCCCCCACCCCCUUAUCAGACCCCACUCCACCCCCAGAGCCUGUUCCCUCACAGCCCAGCCCCUCUGUAAGCCCCCUGUUGCUGAGCCUGAGGUUACUACCUCCCCAGUGUCCUCAGUCACCCCCACCCCUACCAUCCCUGAAAAGGCCACAACUCCCCCUGCCUCGGCCUCCUCCCCAGCUCCCCCAUUGCCUCCACCACCCCUGCCCCCUGCCUCUACCACCCCACCAGCCCAGGCAGCCCCCAGCACUACCCCAGACCCUGCCCCCGAGGCAUCACCACUCACUAUCACCCCUACCCCGGAGGCCCCACCACCAGCCUACCCGGCUCCCAGCUCUGACAAACCUGGCUCCAUCUUCACCCAGCCACCUGCCAUCACCACAGAUAGCACCACUAUAGCUGUCACCAGCCUCACGACGGUCAUAAACACCGCAGCCCCUGCUGCCACCACCACCACCACCCCUACUGACUCCAACACCGCAGCCCCGGCUUCAGGCACAGUUUUCGGACAGCCUGCUCCAGUGACUGCCGGCGGCUUUAGUUCCACCGGCUUUGGUGCUCCACCUGCAGGUGCAGGGGCUGGCUUUGGAAAACCUGUAUUUGGGCAGACAGUUGGCGGGUUCGGCCAACCUGUUCCUAACGCAGCCGGUGGCUUCGGUUUUGGCCAGUCUGCGUUCGGGGCCAGCCCUGGAUUUGGACAGCCUGCAGCGGCCACCACUGCUGCAACUGCUAGUACUGCUGCUAGUGGAGGUGGUCUGUUUGGAGCCCCCAGUGCCAGCAAUGCCAGCAGUUUUUCCUUUGGCUCCCCCAGCGCCAGUACGGCCAGCAGUACGGGCACGGGCCUGUUUGGGCAGCCGAGCGCAACCCCGGCCUUCGGGCAGCAGAGUGCUGGGUUUGGACAAGGCUCUAUGUUUGGAAGCAACACAACCACCACAUCCUCUACUGGCUUCAGCUUUGGACAGCCUGC